GAUGAACGUUGGCGGUGUGCCUAAUACAUGCAAGUCGAACGGAGACUGUAGCAAUACUGUCUUAGUGGCGAACGGGUGAGUAACGCGUUGGUGAUCUGCCUCGAAGUGUGGAAUAACCUCCCGAAAGGGAAGCUGAUACCGCAUAGUCUCUCAAGGUUUAGAAAAUUGAGAGUAAAGGAUUUAUUCGCUUCGAGAGGAGCCUGCGUCCCAUCAGCUAGUUGGUAGGGUAACGGCCUACCAAGGCAAUGACGGGUAGGGGACCUGAGAGGGUGGCCCCCCACAAUGGAACUGAAACACGGUCCAUACACCUACGGGUGGCAGCAGUAGGGAAUAUUAGAAAUGGGCGGAAGCCUGAUCUAGCAACACCGCGUGUGCGAUGAAGGCCUUGGGUCGUAAAGCACUUUUGGAGGGAAUAGGAAGGAAGGUACCUCCAGAAUAAGUCUCGGCUAACUACGUG
rnacentral:rRNA from 1 species